GAACCCCUGCCAUGUUGGUGUUCAACGCAAGCUUUUCGAGCCGAAGAUUCGAAAGGGAGUUCUUCCAGAGCGGUUCGACCACCGUCAGGCCACGGAAGGAGGAGCGUCGCUCCUCCGGAAAUGGUGAAUCGAAAGGACACCCACCUGUUGUAUGACAGGUUCAAGAGUACCGUUGACACGGCAUAGAGGUGGGGGUUUC
rnacentral:other from 1 species